AGUUAAGUUAAAGUUUUAGAAGGAUAUAUGUUUCCUUUGUUAGCUUAGUUUCUUAUUUUUAUUUGUAUUUUAAUUGAAUAAAUAUGAUUCUUUAGAUUUUACAUAUCUGAAGACAUAAAUUAAUUUCUAUUUUUUUUAUAUUUUAUUUUGUUAAUUUAAUAUUUUUAUUGAUUUUUUAAAGAUGUGAUUCUUGUAUCACCUAUCAUACAAGAAAAUUUGUGGACAUAAAUAUUUAUGUUUUGUUAAACUAUUUUAAUAUUAAUUUUCGUUGAGUUAGCACACAUGUAAAGUUAAUUGUUAGAUAAUUUAAGUUCAUAUAGUGAUAUUCUUUCAAAGUCUUGCAUUAUAUAAAAUCCUGAAUUUUAAGACAUAUUUUAUGCUCCUUUUCCAAAUAUUUAGUAAAUAAAUCAAUUUAAUUUCUUUUAAAGAUUUUUAGUUUGUUAUUCUGUCUUAUUUUAUAUUGAUUUCUGUUUUUAGUUUACCUUGUUUGAUACUAUUUUUAUUUUAUUUUGAAAUAAAUAUUUUUGGAAAAUUUAAUAUAACUAAAUGCUGAUUUGACAUAAUUUUUGGGAGAAACGCUCAGAUGCUCUUAAUGAGGCGAAAUUCAUUUUGUCGUACUCUUACUUAUUCUCACAUACUCUUGUCUAUUCUGAUACUCUUCAUAUGGAUGGGCAAUGUCGAAAGUGCCCCUCUGUAUAUGACCAAUAAAAAUCGAGCAAAAUAAGGGUUUUAAUUUAUUCAUUUUAUUUGGGGUUUAUAUUUUUUUAUUCUUUCUCUCUCCGAUGGUGGCGUUUCUUUCUCUCUCUCUCUCCUCCAUUUCUUGGUUUCGCGGUUUUUUGGCGAGAGCGCAAAUCAGCGAUUUCAAAUCUGCGGCUUGGAUGCUGAAUCAUUGAGCAGCAGGCCCAGAGCAAUUGAUCCCCAACCUAGGUCAAAUCAACUUCAGGUAAAGCAGUAUCUUGGUCUGUAUCGAUGAUAUUAGAUUGAUUUCAUAUUUGGGUCAAUUGAAUCGAAUUCUGGAGGAAUGGGAAAGUUUGGAUUGUCUGUAUGUUAUGGAUGUGGAUAAUCAACAACUAGAAGGUAAUGUCGGGAAUCAAAGCUGUGAAUUUUGAAUCCUGUUAAGAUGUUAUCGGAAACUGCUAGAGUAGAAAAAUGUAUGUAGGUGAAACUUUACUCCGUAACAAAAAAAGUGUAACAAGGUAUAACUUAGUAUAACUUCAAUAGCAUAACUGUAUAACUAGGUUUAACUUUGAAUAGUUAUUUUUUUUUUUACAACAGACAAUGGGUUAUUCUUCUACAAACAUACACUUCGACUAUUAUGGACAUUAUACAAAAUCUGGAGAUGAUAUGAAUGGAUUCCAAGCAAUGGUCGUUUGUAUGCUAUAUCCUUUAAGACAUCGUCAUUGGAUGAGAUCACUUAUUCGUUUUUCAAGGAGAGGAUAUGCAAGAAGAUGACCAUUUUUCCGUGUACAAAGAGUAUGAAACUGAGUUACAUUCCACUGGAAGUAGAACCUAAGAGGCAAUCAUAUAUUUUGGAUGAUGAAGAUGUGUUUGUGUAUUUGACAUCAGUGGAUAAAGAGGAAAGAAGAAGUAUUUUGCAUGUAGAGGUCAUCGAAGAAAUGGAAAUAGUUCCAAUAACAGAGCAACAAUCAAGAGUUGAGAAAGAAAGCUCAUAUGAUGGGAACUAUAGUGAGCUUGCGAGUGGAUUACCAGAUGAUGAAAGUAAUCCAGGUGCACUCACUCUGUUUACUCCUAUUGAAGAAGCAUAACAAUAUCUAGAGGGGAUUGAGCAGGUGAAGAAUGUUGUGAAUGGAGAAGCCGAGGAAGGGAGCAUUGGUAUGGAUAAUAUGGACAGCGUGAACAAUGAGGGCGACAUAGAUAACUCUAUGGGUAUUGGUGCUAUUUCCCACUAUGUUGAGCUGCCACGUGUUUCAAAAGAAAUUACAGUGGUUACUGAUAGACCAUGGAUUUGACCCAUUUUUAUCUAUGGUUUAUAGGUAUUUUUACUAUCUAUUAUUAUAUUAUAGAGUCUAUUUAUUAUAUUUAUAAGAUCAGGAGUGAUUUGGAGAUAAGUGAUGAAUUUGGAGCAUUUUGGAGAUAUUUGGAGCAAGCACCUGAGAUGACGAUCGAGCUCGACCAUUGUCGAUAUUGGAGGAGGAAUAUCGAUCGAUGUUCACACCUGAACUUCGAUCGACAGCGAAGCGCGCAGAAAGCCCGUUUGGUCACAACCGACUUGAAGUCCAAGUUUUCACCAAUUUAUAAGAUUACCCCUGACGAGUUUUAAUCUAACUAUAUAAGCUUUGCCACCAUGUAAGAGGCAAAUGAUGCUUUUCUGUGUGUUUUAGUUUUAUUUCUUUCAGCAAAAGGUUUUAGGAUUGUGAUAGAUUGGAGAGAAGAUCCAAAGUUAUAAUUUGUGAUUGGAACUCCAUUAAUAUCUAUUUUACUAUUCUAUGAAGUUUUCUAACCUAAUUGCUUUCAUGAAUUGCUUGGCCAUGUCUGAGUAAAUCCACUGUUAGAUUUAGGGUUUAAAUAGGUUAUGAGGGAUUAGCCCCAACUAUAGAUUGCUGAGUUGUGGUAAUUAUCAUUAGGAUUGUUCAUUAAUGCCUGUUUCUAGAUUAGCUACCUAGAACUUGCCCUAGGAUUGAUAGAUAAAAGCGAGAGCUUCAUUCUCAUCCUGAAAACAUUCUAACUGAGCUAAGUUUCAAUUCACUCAGGAGCCUGCAUAAUCAUUUAGGGGCUCUUGGAUCAGAUUCAAGUCUUAUCAGAGAGACUGUCACUCAGGAGACUGCAUAAUCUACGAGGAUUCAAUGAAGUACAACUGCUCGCUACUUUCUACAGAGGCAUCGCGGUGCAGUACCAUAUUGCUCUUGAUGCUUCCAGCAAUGGAACCUUCAACACCAUGAAUCCAGAGGAGGCAAUAAAGGUUAUUGAAAACCUAGCAUCCAGCAACAUCACCAAGAACACUGAUUUUGAGGGGAAAAGAUCUGCCAAGAUCCUUGGGAAUGAUCAGAUGGAUAAGGUGAAGGCAAAGCUGGAUAGUGUUCACAAGCUCCUCAGGAAGCAUGUUAGCUUUGUUGAAGAUGCAGAAGCUGUAGAGGGUAGAGCAGAGGAAGAAGAGGUGAACUACAUUGGUGGAACUGGAUUCCAAGGUUCUGGAAACCAGGGUGGAAACAAAAACUCAUAUAGAAAUAUGAGAAAUUUCAACCAAAAUUCACAAUACCAAAAACCCUACAACAACAACUACAACAUGAAUUAUUGAAGUUCCUACUACCAGAAGCAACUGCUGCCUACUCAAGAGAGCAAGAUUGAAGAGAUGCUUGAUAGAGUUCUUGAGGCACAGCAGCGAAUGACAGUAAACUUCAAUGGGAAAAUAGAUUCUGUCUACACCAACCUGAACACAAAAUUUGAGACUUUGCGCACUCAUGUGAAGAAGCUGGAGAUGAAAGUUGUACAGACAAGAGAUGUUGUGAAGAGGCAGGAAGCCUCGACAAGAGGGGUAUGAGAUGAUGUGAUGAAACACCACGUGAAUGCCAUCAUUGAGGAUGAUUUUUGGUAACUGGUGAAGGAAGAUUACCUUCAAGAAGGAAAUUUUGAGGUAGAAAGUUUGAUGAGUUUUGGUGGAUCGCAAUGGUGUCGAUCGACGCCAGACCUCGAACAUCGAUCGACAUACACCAGUCCAAAUCGAUCGACAGAAACUCUAGAGCAUUGAUCAACGACGCCUACGUAGUCAACCACGUCUUGCAAUGCCGUGAAGAUUCUAACUCAUGAGGAGUUUUCAGCAAAACACCCACAUCCGCCCAGCCAUGUUAACGUACGAAUAAAUCGACAUGCUAACAACAACAUCGAUCGACACUCAGAAGCCGCCAUUGAACGACAACCUCCAGCGCCUAUCGAUCGACGUGCACCUAUUACCUAUCGAUCGAUGAGCACUUAAUGCACUCAUGCCCAAACCCAAACCUUUCGAAUACCCACUAGAGACCGUCAGGACACCUUCAGAUGAUGGAGAAGAUCCUAUGGAAGAGGAUAGGGUUCCUACUGAAAGAACCCUAAGGAGAAAAAAGGAAAAAGUUGCGAAACAUCUGAAGAGGGGGGCCAAUGAUAAGGAAAAGGAAAGUUUCCGGAAGAGAGUCUUUAGGAUUCCUAUAGAUAAGCCAUUUGAGAAUGCUUAUUAUAACCACAGAUUGUGGAUGUUCUUCACAGAAACUAGAGAGAAAGAAUAAGACAUCAUGUGAAUGUUCUGUGAAGCUAGAGAAAAGAUGAGGAUGAGGAUUACAUUGAAGAAGAAGGUUGAUCAUGGGCAAUUUGCAAUACCAUGCACGGUGAAGGGUAUUGAGUUCCCACAUGCCUUGUGCGACACAGGAGCAUCAGUCAGCAUCGUACCUAAGGUUAUGGCAGACCAUCUGGGUCUGCAGGUGGAGCCUUCGCAGGAAUUGUUAACUUUUGUGGAUUGUUCGCAGAUGAACUCAGGAGGAAUUGUGAGAGACCUAGAGGUGCAGAUUUGUAAUGCCCUAGUUCCAGUUGAUUUCCAUGUCUUGGACAUCAAGUUAAACUGGAACUCUUCUCUACUACUUGGGAGAGCUUUCUUGUCAAUAGUGGGAGCAGUGUGCAGCUCACAAACCAACCAGUUGUGUCUAACACUCAUCGAUCCUAAUGCCCACUACGAUCCUAUCCCAGUCAAGCAGCCCUCCCCAACCUAGGUCAAAUCAACUUCAGGUAAAGCAGUAUCUUGGUCUGUAUCGAUGAUAUUAGAUUGAUUUCAUAUUUGGGUCAAUUGAAUCGAAUUCUGGAGGAAUGGGAAAGUUUGGAUUGUCUGUAUGUUAUGGAUGUGGAUAAUCAACAACUAGAAGGUAAUGUCGGGAAUCAAAGCUGUGAAUUUUGAAUCCUGUUAAGAUGUUAUCGGAAACUGCUAGAGUAGAAAAAUGUAUGUAGGUGAAACUUUACUCCGUAACAAAAAAAGUGUAACAAGGUAUAACUUAGUAUAACUUCAAUAGCAUAACUGUAUAACUAGGUUUAACUUUGAAUAGUUAUUUU
rnacentral:lncRNA from 1 species